CUUUCAAUUAUUUUUAUAGCCUCUGGCUAUAGGAAAUUGUUAGUGGCAGACGGGUGAGUAAUGCGUAGGAAUCUACCUAGUAGUACGGAAUAGCCAUUAGAAAUGGUGGGUAAUACUGUAUAAUCCCCGAGGGGGAAAGAUUUAUCGCUAUUAGAUGAGCCUACGUUAGAUUAGCUAGUUGGUGAGGUAAUGGCUUACCAAGGCUAUGAUCUAUAGCUGGUCUGAGAGGACGAUCAGCCACACUGGAACUGAGAUACGGUCCAGACUCCUACGGGAGGCAGCAGUGGGGAAUAUUGGACAAUGGGCGAAAGCCUGAUCCAGCUAUGCCGCGUGAGUGAAGAAGGCCUUCGGGUGUAAAUUUAAUUC
rnacentral:rRNA from 1 species